CGCCAUUGUUUUGUAGCAUCAGUGUGCCACAUUUCUAUGUUAAUUGUCUGACCAUUUUUAUUUUGUAGAAUAAACUUUCAUUUGCUGAGUACAUCAUAUCAGCAAUUCCUUUAUGCUGUGUUCCUUUUGUUCCUGGUGUUUCCUCUCUCCUUGACAGCGAGAAUGCGCAAACUGCCGUGGCAACACCGUUGGAUGACAAAGUUGAGCAUGAGGCUCCUCCUGCCACCUUGCCUCGUUUUGAUCCUUUCUCCCCAGAAGUCUGUUGAUCCAGCGUCGAUGCCAGGCUGAAGGUUUGCCUAGCCAGCCUUCAGAUGGAGGCGCAAGAAAAGGAGAUGAAUGCACAAUACCAACCGUCAUGGGCAGCUGAGUGCAGAAGCAGAGAAUUGAGGUGUAGACCCAAAUGCAGACUGUAGGUGAGGUGGUUGCAGUUCAAAUAAAGAUUUAUUAAAACAAAAUGAAGCAGGCUUACGCUGGAAGCACAGCAAUAAAUUUCCAUACAAAAAUAACUCUAAACAAAACACAAUCCAAAGGGAAAAUCCAGAAUAAACAAGGAACCAUCAAAGGGGAAAUCCAAAAAGCACAGGACCAGGAAAGAACACUCAACACAGAUGGACAUCACAAAGACUAAACGGCACAAGCCAACAUUUAAACACCAGCUAACGAGCAGGGUGGGACCAAGGCCAUUUGGAGGACAUGAGGUAAUUGGACAGACACACAGGCAAGCAGGUGAAACCACACGGGGGAACAGACAGGACCAGACAAAAAUGCAGAAACAUAACACCAAAAUGCAAACUAAACAUGACAGGAAACAAGCAUGUAAGACUAAACACAGUCACAAUAAUAAAUCACCAGACAAAGAGAAAGCAACACAAGGCAGACAGAAAACUAAAUACUACAUAUAAACUACAAUCAAACAAGAAACAGACUAACACUAGAAUGAACAGAGCAGACAAGCCAAAUAUAAUACAAACAUUGAACAAGCAAUAAAUGCCAAGAUAUGAACUCAAAAUUAAGAUGCAAGACCGAUACUAAGAACUACACAAAACCACAAACCAAGAAAGACAGCAACAACAGCUAAAAUACAAAUUGCCUUAUGCGUUGGUCUUAGUGCAGGGCUACAACCCGGAGAUUCUGCACAAGAAAGGAUCUGAUUAUGUACUUGCAGAUGGUUUGUCACGUGCAAUGUAGUUGACUGGAUGUAGAAGUAUUUGUUCCAAAUGUUUGGAUUUAUAAGGGUGGGGUGUUACAUGCCAAGCAGGCCUGCUUUUGUUUUGUUUUCCUCCUGGUUUCUGCCUCCCCCCCCCCUUGUUUCUCCUCAGGUGCUGAAUGGGUGAUUGGCUCGCACCUGUGCAGCCUGGCCGAGCUGCACAUUGGCCAAUGGAAGUUGAAGCUGGCCAACCAGUAUGAAGCAUGGGAAAUAAAAGGAGCACCCCAGAAGAGUUUGUGCUCUCUCACCCAUGCAAUCACCAUUGUUUUGUAGCAGCAGUAUUGCUAUGUUAAUUGUCUGACCAUUUUUAUUGU